rnacentral:rRNA from 1 species
AUUGAACGCUGGCGGCAUGCCUUACACAUGCAAGUCGAACGGCAGCACGGGGGCAACCCUGGUGGCGAGUGGCGAACGGGUGAGUAAUGCAUCGGAACGUACCCGGAAGUGGGGGAUAACGUAGCGAAAGUUACGCUAAUACCGCAUACGUCCUGAGGGAGAAAGCGGGGGAUCUUCGGACCUCGCGCGAUUGGAGUGGCCGAUGUCAGAUUAGCUAGUUGGUAGGGUAAAGGCCUACCAAGGCGACGAUCUGUAGCGGGUCUGAGAGGAUGAUCCGCCACACUGGGACUGAGACACGGCCCAGACUCCUACGGGAGGCAGCAGUGGGGAAUUUUGGACAAUGGGGGCAACCCUGAUCCAGCCAUGCCGCGUGCGGGAAGAAGGCCUUCGGGUUGUAAACCGCUUUCGGACGGAAAGAAAUCGUUCUGGCUAGUACCCAGGAUGGAUGACGGUACCGUAAGAAGAAGCACCGGCUAACUACGUGCCAGCAGCCGCAGUAAUAC